rnacentral:lncRNA from 1 species
GGCCGCGGAGGAGGAAGUGGGGCCUCGCCGGGUGCGCGGGUGCCCUGGUGGCGGGGCGCGGGGCUCCUCGGGGUCGCCGCCGUCCGGAGCCGAGCCGCAGCCCCGGGCCGCGCCGCGAUCUUUGCGUCCGGACGCGGCCGCUUCUCUCCGCCGUCCCGGACUUCUGCCGCUGGGCCGGGCCUCUGUCACCCGGGGCUGCGGCCCAAUUUGCCGCUUUGCGGCCGGGUCCAGCCCACACACGAACUCUGGGCGUGGUGACAAACUUCCAGCGCCAGCUCGGUCUUCGCUGAAUGGCAGCUUCCUCGCGAAGCCCGGGACAGCCGGGCCCUCAACUCGGUCGCUGGCGUGAGAUCAUGAAUAUGUACACACAGUGAAAACCUGAGGACCUGUCCCUACAGAGGGGCAGCCCACCCUGGCAAGAAGAGCUGCUGAGUUUAAAUCCGGCUGGAUCCAGUAAAGCUCCUCCUCACUCAACCCCCGGACAGAAGUCCAGCAGACCAGAGGGAGGGGGAAGAAAAGACGGGAGGACAAGUGACACUUGUGUGCCCACCUCAGCCUGAGGGAAGGACACAUCGCCAACGAGGCCCACGACUGGCACUAAAACCACUUAUUCUUGAGUCCUUCUCUGUGACUUUAUUUCAAGUUAACAUUCUUGGAGGCUUGGGGGUAGGGGGGAAUAUCAAGAUCUAAACCAUAACAUUCUGGCCUUAACCUCUUCAAGACUCCUGUGUGUCUCUAUGCAAGAUCCAGCUCUGAGAGUUGCCAGAGUCCUCACUGUUUUAGUCUUGUUGAAAAGUCCAAGUCUCACACCUCUGAGAUUUAAGACUAUUUACUCUGAGCCCCUAUGAAAAUAAAAAGGAAAAGUUCAAAACUUACGAAGAAACAGGGUAAGCAUUCUCUCCCCAAAAGGCAGAAACAGGAAGAAAGGACUGCGACGAAAGCUAAACUAAAACCCAGCAGGGCAA